UACGUAGGGUGCGAGCGUUGUCCGGAAUUACUGGGCGUAAAGAGCUCGUAGGUGGUUUGUCGCGUUGUCCGUGAAAACUCACAGCUUAACUGGGGAACUGCGUGUGAGACUGGCAGGCUCGAGGGCAGGAGAGGAACGCGGAAUUCCAGGUGUAGCGGUGAAAUGCGUAGAUAUCUGGAGGAACACCGGUGGCGAAGGCGGCGUUCUGGACUGUCUCUGACACUGAAGAACGAAAGCCAGGGGAGCAAACGGG
rnacentral:rRNA from 1 species